AGUUUGAUCAUGGCUACAGAGCAACGCUGGCGGCAAGCUUAACACAUGCAAGUCUAACGGGUGUAGCAAUACAUCAGUGGCGGACGGGUGUAUAACACGUGGGAAUCUGCCUUUAGGUACGGAAUAACUCAGGGAAACUUGGGCUAAUACCGCAUAAUAUCUCCGGAUCAAAGAUUUAUCGCCUAAAGAUGAGCCCGCGGUUGAUUAGCUAGUUGGUGGGGUAAUGGCCUACCAAGGCUACGAUCAAUAGCUGGUCUGAGAGGAUGAUCAGCCACACUGGGACUGAGACACGGCCCAGACUCCUACGGGAGGCAGCAGUGGGGAAUAUUGGGCAAUGGGCGAAAGCCUGACCCAGCUAUGCCGCGUGAGUGAUGAAGGCCUUAGGGUUGUAAAGCUCUUUUAAGUGGGAAGAUAAUGACGGUACCACUAGAAUAAGCCCCGGCUAACUUCGUG
rnacentral:rRNA from 1 species